ACGGAGGGUGCGAGCGUUGUCCGGAAUCACUGGGCGUAAAGGGCGCGUAGGCGGUUUCUCAAGCGCGUGGUGAAAGCCCGGGGCUCAACCCCGGGUCGGCCGUGCGAACUGGGAGACUCGAGCACUGUAGAGGCGGGUGGAAUUCCGGGUGUAGCGGUGGAAUGCGUAGAGAUCCGGAAGAACACCGGUGGCGAAGGCGGCCCGCUGGGCAGUCUGCUGACGCUGAGGCGCGACAGCGUGGGGAGCAAACAGGA
rnacentral:rRNA from 1 species